rnacentral:rRNA from 1 species
GACGAACGCUGGCGGCGUGCUUAACACAUGCAAGUCGAACGGGCCCGCUCUCUUUUUUGGGGGUGGGUUGAGUGGCGAACGGGUGAGUAUCACGUGAGUAACCUGCCCCCUGCUCCUGGAUAACUGCUUGAAAGGGCGGCUAAUACGGGGUGUGCCGGCUGGUCCGCAUGGGCCUGGUCGGGAUAGUUUCAUCUUCGGGUGUUUCGGUGGGGGAUGGGCUCGCGGCCUAUCAGCUUGUUGGUGGGGUGAUGGCCCACCAAGGCGGUGGCGGGUAGCCGGCCUGAGAGGGUGGGCGGCCACACUGGGACUGAGACACGGCCCAGACUACUGCGGGAGGCAGCAGUGGGGGGUAUUGCACAAUGGGCGGAAGCCUGAUGCAGCGACGUCGCGUGAGGGAUGGAGGCCUUCGGGUUGUGAACCUCUUUCUCCGGUGGUGAAGGCCCUGUCCGUUGCGGCGGGGUUGACGGUAGCCGGGUAUGAAGCGCCGGCUAACUACGUG